AUUGAACGCUGGCGGCAGGCCUAACUCAUGCAAGUCGAGCGAGCGGCGGACGGGUGAGUAAUGUCUGGGAAACUGCCUGAUGGAGGGGGAUAACUACUGGAAAAGGUAGCUAAUACCGCAUACCAUCAGAUGUGCCCCGAUGGGAUUAGCUAGGAGGUGGGGUAAUGGCUCACCGAGGCGACGAUCCCUAGCUGAGCUGAGAGGAUGACCAGCCACACUGGAACUGAGACACGGUCCAGACUCCGACGGUAGGCAGCAGUGGGGAAUAUUGCACAAUGGGCGCAAGCCUGAUGCAGCCAUGCCGCGUGUAUGAAGAAGGCCUUCGGGUUGUAAAGUACUUUCAGCGAGGAGGCGUUACUCGCAGAAGAAGCACCGGCUAACUCCGUGCCAGCAGCCGCGGUAAUUC
rnacentral:rRNA from 1 species